rnacentral:rRNA from 1 species
AACAAACGCUGGCGGCGUGCCUAAUACAUGCAAGUCAAACGGGUAGCAAUACUAGUGGCGCACGGGUGAGGAAUACAUGGGUAAUCUGCCCUCGAGUUGGGGAUAACCAGUCGAAAGAUUGGCUAAUACCGGAUAAGACCACAAGAUCUGCGGAUCAAGGGUUAAAGGUUUUUCGCUUGAGGAUGAGCCCAUGUGGGAUUAGCUAGUUGGUGAGGUAAUGGCUCACCAAGGCGACGAUCCCUAACUGGUCUUAGAGGAUGAUCAGUCACACUGGAACUGAGACACGGUCCAGACUCCUACGGGAGGCAGCAGUAGGGAAUAUUGCACAAUGGGGAAACCCUGAUGCAGCGACGCCGCGUGAGUGAUGAAGGCCUUCGGGUCGUAAAGCUCUGUCGUAUGGGAAUAACACAAUGAAUGUACCAUGCAAGAAAGGAUCGGACUAACUUCGUGCCAGCAGCCGCGGUAAU